GCUUGCUUCGGCAGUACAUAUACUAAAAUUGGAAUGAACCAAAUAAGAUUAACAUGGUCCUCAAGCAAGGUGACAUGCAAGUUUGUGAAGUCUUCAUAUUUUUU